UAUAAAGUGGUGUAAGGCACGUUAGAUUUUGAAGCUAGAGGUGGUAGGACAGAACUAUUUUUUAUAA
rnacentral:tRNA from 1 species